GAUGAACGCUGGCGGCGUGCCUAAUACAUGCAAGUCGAGCGAACAGACGAGGAGCUUGCUCCUCCGACGUUAGCGGCGGACGGGUGAGUAACACGUGGAUAACCUACCUAUAAGACUGGGAUAACUUCGGGAAACCGGAGCUAAUACCGGAUAAUAUAUUGAACCGCAUGGUUCAAUAGUGAAAGACGGUUUUGCUGUCACUUAUAGAUGGAUCCGCGCCGCAUUAGCUAGUUGGUAAGGUAACGGCUUACCAAGGCGACGAUGCGUAGCCGACCUGAGAGGGUGAUCGGCCACACUGGAACUGAGACACGGUCCAGACUCCUACGGGAGGAAGCAGUAGGGAAUCUUCCGCAAUGGGCGAAAGCCUGACGGAGCAACGCCGCGUGAGUGAUGAAGGUCUUCGGAUCGUAAAACUCUGUUAUUAGGGAAGAACAAAUGUGUAAGUAACUAUGCACGUCUUGACGGUACCUAAUCAGAAAGCCACGGCUAACUACGUG
rnacentral:rRNA from 1 species